rnacentral:rRNA from 1 species
UACGAAGGGGGCUAGCGUUGUUCGGAAUUACUGGGCGUAAAGCGCACGUAGGCGGACUAUUAAGUCAGGGGUGAAAUCCCGGGGCUCAACCCCGGAACUGCCUUUGAUACUGGUAGUCUCGAGUCCGGAAGAGGUGAGUGGAAUUCCGAGUGUAGAGGUGAAAUUCGUAGAUAUCGGAAGGAACAUCAGUGGCGAAAGCGGCUUCCUGGACCAGAACUGACGAUCAGGCUCGAAAGCGUGGGGAGCAAACAGG